GACAUUCAGAUUAAUCACCACUCCCUGUGGAGGGAAAAUGUUCUGUGAAUACUCUAAGUAUGUAGCUGACUCACACAUGUAUUCUUUCUGCCAGACAGGCUGAUAGAUUACUAGAUGUGUCUCACACUGCGUUCACUGUAUUAGUCUCAAUGUGUGGCACCCUGCAGAUACAUUUCAGAUACUUUCAUAAACGGCACGUUAUUACACAGGACCAAGCCCUAUCUAAUUUACAACCAAUGCCUUUGCUGAAGUGACCCAAGACCACUUAAUCGUUGCCGGGGGGAGGAUGUGGUUACGAAAAAAAUUACUUGAGAGUAAAGGCGGUUGUGAUGAAUGUACACACUGUAUGAGUUGAGGAGUACAUACAGGCUUUUUCCAGAUGACUUGCUAAGUCAGUAACGCUACAGUCGGCAACUUCCACCGCCUGAGGCAAGCAGUGUGUACUUCAAAGUCCCAUCUCACACCCCCGGGAAAACAGAAGCAAGUGUGCAUGAAAACACUGCGGGUGGGUUACAUAUGUGAACUACCAGUGCCAUCAAGUGUUCGACCUGGGAAUGUUCAGAAGGAGCUUAAAAAAAACAGUAGAUUUAAGCCAAGCCAUCUAUGUCUGUGUGAGUGUGUGCACUAGCAGGCAUAAUUGCAGCAACAUAUUUAAUAGCUAGCAGAUGUAUUUCAAUUUAGAUCCAAGGACUAGAUCAUCUCUGUGCAAAAAUUAACAACACACCCCUGGAUGCUUCCAACUGUGGUGUGUUGGCCUUCUCAGCCCUUCAGUUUUCAGGCUUUCACACCUCAUAAUUAAACAAAGAAUGCAGACUUCCCACCGUGCGGGAGGAGGAACACUAAGGAGACCAGCAAACAAGAAAACAACCCAGAAAAAAAGAAACUUGCCCACUUCAACUGGUGCAAAACAUAGUCCUAUAUAUGUGACUUUCAAAAUAAAAAGACUAGGCAAAGGGGAAAAAGGGAAGCAAGAUUAUAUACCAAGGUGGUCCGCAGAGGUGGUCUCUGACAGUUUUUUAUAGCUGAGACUUAAUAAUCCUACCUGCUGCUCAGAUGCAGAGACCAGAGCUUUCUGUGCACGCAUAAUUGUGCACAAACACACACACACAUACACACAGAUAAACCUCCAUCCCUGAGUCACGAGACAUGUUUUAGUGAGAGCUACCUGCAUCUUUUAGUAACCUUUUGGAAACCACUGAGUAGACUAGACAACAACGGGGAAAAUCUACUAAAACAAAAUCUAUAUAUGCUCUGAGAUUAAGCAAAAAGAUGACAGGAAUGACAGGUGAGUUUGGAUUAGAGUAUUUAUAACCUUUUUUUUUAUCUAAAAGAUUUCCACGGAGUCCACAGUCGCAUCUUCACAUUGCUUCACAAACUUAAACCAAAGAACAAAACACAUCUGAGGAGGUGAUAGAAACAAACCUAAUUAGUGUGAUCUUUUUAAAAUAGUCAAUCAGAGUCAAACUUAUACAGUUGCAAGAAAAAGUUUGUGAAUAUCCUCAUAUUACCAGGACUUCAAUGCUACUGAUUUUUCCCUCUGUCCUAAUUGAAAACAAUCAAAAGUCUGACUAAAAUCAAAACAAGAGCCAAGCCCAUACGAUUAGCCAGUGUUAUCUGUGUAUCAGUCUAUCGGUAUCAGUGUUUAUAAAAGCCAAUAAAUGUGAAAAAUAAAGACAGGACUGAAGAAACGCUUUUCAACCAUGUUCUGUGUGUUGAGGUUGUGUAGUAAAUAAAUAACUACACAUAACAAAUGUUAGGGAAAUAUGUUCAGCUAAUAUAUUGUAAUAUCAGAUUUUUUUUAUAGAUAUCACUCUGAAAAAUCUUAUAUUGGUCAGAUUCUGCUAACAACAAACAAAAACUUGCACUUUACGUGCUUUUAUUGAACACACUGAGUAAUUACUCACAGUCCAGGCUAGAAAAACACUAAGUGUACCAAAUUCUCCAAAAGCUACUGAAAGUCAGGUGUUCCAAUUAACGACACGGGACUGGAAGUCUGGGAUGCAGCUGUAGCCCUUUCUUUAAAGACAUGCAUGAAAAGCCUAAUGUAGGUUGCUCAUCUCAAGAAUGACUGGCUAGUCUGAACCAGAGGUGGACAAAUAAUGUUCCUAAGGGCCUAUAUAAGAAACUAGGACUACUGUAGAGGGCUGCAGCAAUAAGCUGAACUCAGUUCGGCUUCAUUUUAAUUGUAUCUCUUUAUGAACCUUUACUGGUAAGAGUAGUUGUUACAAUCAGGUCUGAACCAUUCCGUGACUGCAAGAAAAAGCAGUACAGAGAUGCAUAAAGCUGACAGCGUGUCUUGCAAAUAUCAAACCACAGCACACAUCUGAAAGAGGUGAGAACAAGACCGAAGGGUUACAACAAAACACCUGCAGAAGUCUUGCUAAAAUGUUCGUUCAUCUUCACUAGAAAAAAAUUACUUAAUACCAGGACUUCCACCACUCCACUUCCCCAUCAAAAAACCAGCACAUGAAGCAGAAGAAAAGUCAGCAAUACCUUGUAGGCAAACAAACUGCGAGCAGGAGGAAGCAUCAUGGUUUGCGGCUGCUUUGCCACGUCACAGCCUUGAUGCCAAUCAUUAAAGGAACAAUACAUUGAACGCUAUCAAAACAUAAUACAAUAAAGUGUCAGGGGAGGAGUCCAUGAACUGAGGCUUAGGAGAGUGGCAACAACAUAAUAACCCAAAGGACACAAAGUAAGUAUUAAGUGUUUUAAUGGCCAAGACAGUGACUUUAAUCCAACUGAGAUGCUACGGCUAACCUGAAGAGUGCUGUCCAAUCAAGAGUUUUAUAUGGGCCCUCUUCACUGUAUCAGCAGCUACUGUUGCUCCUUCUAUGAGUGACUAAAUUCAAAAGCUGACUUACUUUUAUUAGCCGAUACUGUUAGUGAUCACUCAAUGUGUUCAAUUAAAACAGGAAAACCACAACUGUGUGGUUUUAGUUUAGUCAGAUUAUCGCGGUCCAUAAUUGUAACUUUUUUGUAAAGAUGCAGAUUAGGCCACAUUUUAUGAGUAAUCAAUGCAGAAAUUCUGUUAAUUCCGCAUUUUUUUUCCAACUACAUUGCAGGAUAAGACUGACUCAAAGGAUUAACUGUGAAAGAAACAUCAGCUGAAGGCAAUUUAAUAUGAGAAUGGCAAAAAUGUGACGAAAAAAAUGCCAGAAUUAAUAUCUUGGGAUGUUCAAGGUGCUGAGGAUUGUGGAUGAGGCUUGUGUAUGACAUGAAUGACAAACAGGACAGGCCUUAUCUGUGCGGCGCCCCAGGCUGCUCUCAGCGCUUCCAGUUAGAGGAACAUCUGAUCAUCCACAGGCACAAGCAUGAGAUGACCCUCAAGUUCCCCUCCAUAAAGACAGAUGCAGCAUUCACAGACCAGACUCCGACGCCGACGCGAUUUCUGCAGAACUGCGAAGAGGUUGGUCUCUUCAAGGAGAUCGAGGAAGAAUUUCUUCAAGCACAAGAGGAGGAAAACAAGAAGCAGUCGCUUUCUCAUAAUGGGCCCUCCUGUAUGAGCCAGCACCAGCUCAAACCCCAACUUCAGCUCCAGCACCCACCCCAGCCUCAGCACCCACAUCCCCAACCACCGCUGCAUCAUCCCCAGACUCAUGCACUGCAUCAUCCCCAGACACAUGGCCCCAUGAUGGCCCCUAGCUGCAGCCUGGCCGCCCAGCAAGCCCUGUCCUCCUCCCAGUCUGGAUCAGUCAUCACCCAGGCUACCUCCACCCUAACACACUCCGAGCCGGUUCCCGGGCCGCUGUCGUGCCUCCUUCACAUGCGGAACAGACACAGGCAGCCGCUGCCAGCCUCCUUACCUGGCACCCUGCCAGACCCCGCCAUGCAAGGGGCAUCUGCUCAGCACAUGACUAUAGAGAAGCAGAUGUCUUGUGCAAUGGGUAUACCGGCUCCUGUACACAACCCCUCCUGUUCUUCACCCCAGAGAUCCAAGCAGACAUUGGGCCACCAUUACCAACAGCAUCACCCAGGAAUGAUCACCAUCAAUAACAAUGUGCCACCCAUGGGCCACAUGAUAGAGAUGAUGCCACAGCGUCACCAGACACCUCCACUACAACAGCAACAACCACAACAGCAGCAGCACCACCACCAUCCCCACCAUCAUCACCAUCCUCAGCCUCAUCACUCACAGCUUCCACCUGUGCCUCUUACCUACCAACAGCGGUGCCAUGCUCCCCACCCACAGCAUCUUGGAAGCACCCAGAGCCACCAGCUACACCAGGCAGGGAAUUUACCACCUCACGCUCAGGCUCACCAAUCACCGCCUUCACACUUACACCCAGGCUCACCGCCUGCACCUCCACUGUCUGCUCCUGCGCAGUUAUCACCAGUUGCACAGCAGAUGCAGCCUUCCCAGCCAUCUCACACUCAUGCAAUGCAGGCAGUGGGUAGCUGCGGCGGAGGUGGUGGAGGAGGUGUAGGAGGAGGCGGAAACCGUCGAAGGAGGACAGUAGAGCAGGACCCUGACGAGCGAAGGCAGAAGUUUCUGGAACGUAACCGGGCCGCAGCCACCCGCUGCCGACAGAAGAGGAAGCUGUGGGUGUCAUCGCUGGAGAAGAAAGCUGAAGAGCUGACGCACACGAACCUUCAGCUACAGAACGAGGUGACGUCACUGAGGUCGGAGGUGGGUCAGCUGAAGCAGAUUCUGCUCACCCACAAGGACUGUCCUGUCACUGCUCGGCAGAGGGAGGCACAGGGGUACCCCACUGCAGGGGUGAGCCCAGGAGGAAGUCCCACCCCUGCAGGUCCUGGGUCUCAUCUGCAAGCCAUCCAGCAUAACAGCAUCUCCACUUCCUCGACGUCUGGAGGCGAUUCGGGCCACGACCUCCAGCCCGGACACUAGCCUGCAACGUAUAGGUGAAAUCCCGAACUGGAUAGGAUGAAUUUAUAAAUCCACGUGAACGCUUGAGACAGAAAGACUUAAGAGGAACUUUCUGCAUGUUCUUCCUGUGGAGAUGUGAAGGUCAGCCCUGUAAUGGCCUGGCUACCUGUGCAGGGUGUACCACCUCAAAGUCUGCUUAGAUCCUGGAUAACUGGACAACUACUAACAAAAGUGUCCCAGACUUCAAAGGAUAGCUCUCCCAAAAUUUAACCUAUUGUUCUUCAGCGCUCUAAAUCACUUUGGUGUGAGUUAACCAGUUUUUGAAAAUAUCAGCCAAAGACAUGACUGGCUUCUCUUGAAAAUAGUAAAAGUAAGCGAUACUUUUCUUGCGAUGCCCAAAGACCCCCUCAAAAUGUAUUUUACUAAACUCUUUUAAUGAUUUAUGACCUAGUUACUCAAAUAUAUCCACAAGCUUCGCUGUGGGGUUGUUAUGCAUCAUCUAUCCAUGACUAGAGGCAUGAUGUCCUCCCUCAUACGCUAGCUCCAAGGUUAUUAUAGUUAACUGAAACUAAACUAAAAAAUAAAUAUUAUAAAAAAUACAAAAAACAUUGAGUUGACUGAAAUAAAAAUAAAAACUGGCCUUUUGAAAGAAAUUAAAGCUAAGUUAAAUGAUUUUGUGAACUUGGAAACUAACUGAAAUAAGAUAAAAAUAUAAGGGAAAGAAUACUAGUUUCAGUAUCUUAAAUGUUUUAUUACAACUUGCCUGAUGAGGCAUCCAUGGACAUGUUUCAGACCCUGGAUGUCUGCAACACUGUGACUCAGCUGCUUUCAAGAAGUUAUGUGUUAUUAUUGUAAUAUCUGUACUGAUUUUCCCAAAUCUUGUGUCUAAACAUAUGCCCGCCAUAUUCGCUUCCAUUAUAUUCAAUGGAAGGAACCUGCUUGGACUAAAACACAAAUAAACAAACAACCAAAAAAAUGACGGACAGGCAAGUGGAAAAAUAUGCAGUUUUGAUUUUGGCGUGAACUGUCCCUUUAAGGUCAGCUGUCACAAACCAAGAAGCUUUAAUGUCUAACAUCUUGACUGUCUGAUGCUAUGAAAAGUUUGUGUGCAGGCAAUUGUCAAUAUGUGUGUCUGUGUAUGAUUUGUACUAAAUGUAGGCGGC